UGACGCCAUCAACACGCGACCAGCCCGCUGGAAGGAAGCCAAGCUCGGGACAGAAAAUGCUUCGGUGGCUCCCGGCCGGUGGCGCCCUGGGGCCUUUAGGAGGUCACGGUGCUGGCGAAAGAGCAAUGAGGGAGCGAGCUUCUUUACUACAUGUCUUCAGAGACCCACUUGUGCUGGGUGAGACCUUCAAGUGAGACCUUGAAGCCUUGAGAGCAUUUUUUUGGAGAGAGGACCCUGACCUUUGCACCCUUGUUUUGGAUUUGAUAGCCAUCUGUUGCUUCUUGCUCCCAGCAGCUUCCUUCCUCUUCCAUAUUCUGUAGUCUCUGGGCCAUGGGAACUUCAUACAUAUUUUGAUUCAUUAGUUCUCUAUCCUGCCCAACUUCGGUAUAGGAAUCCCUAGUCCUACUGAAGAAGCCCCUCACUCCCAGGGCUAUGGGAUGUAUCCAGUUCCUACAAGUUCAUGUAUUUGAUCAGGGAGAGCUUAAGGAAGGCUGGUGUCUAGAGAGGUGUGGAUUCCAUGAGAUUUGCCCUGCUUGUCCCAGAAGAAGAGGGAAGCCUGGAAUAUCCUGGCCCUGCCCUUCCAGUUCAGUUUGGAAAAGCAGCAAUCUUUGCUUUAUCCUGCCCUAGCCUCUUCCACCAACCUUAUAUACAUGUGUUUUAUGGGUCUAAUUCUGAUGACUACCUACCUAGAAGAUUCAGACAAUGACCUGGAUAUCUGAUGGUGCUGAUGGACUGACUAUGAAUCCUGACUAACCUUGACCUACUCCCUGCAGCUAUACAGUAUACAGUCACACUUCAGUUUGUAGAUUAUGUUCUGAAAUCCGUGUGUAAGCCACAGUGAUACAGUUAAAAUUAGUCUUGAAAUGUCUCAUAAAAUACAUUAUAGUAUCUUUAAACAGUUAUAGCUGGAAAGGAGCUAGGGUCUCUUUGAAGGAAGGCAGUCUCUAUCAGAGAGUGAAGAAACUGAAGUUGUUACUAUAGAAAUAAUUGAAAAUAAAAUUUUAUUUUUCAUUAUAUUCAACUUAACUGUUGGUCAGGAAAGUAACUGGUCUCAAAGGAAAAAUAAAAGAUAUAUUCUUAACUAGUAAUGAAAACCAAUGGCAUGGGGAAAACACUUUUUUUACAGUGUAAAUACCUUUAAUCAGUUGAUCAAUAAACAUUCAUUCACUUAUUUA